CGGGACGGGUGAGUAAUGUCUGGGAAACUGCCCGAUGGAGGGGGAUAACUACUGGAAACGGUAGCUAAUACCGCAUAACGUCGCAAGACAAAGAGGGGGACCUUAGGGCCUCUUGCCAUCGGAUGUGCCCAGAUGGGAUUAGCUAGUAGGUGGGGUAAUGGCUCACCUAGGCGACGAUCCCUAGCUGGUCUGAGAGGAUGACCAGCCACACUGGAACUGAGACACGGUCCAG
rnacentral:rRNA from 1 species